AUUUCAUGGUUAGGGCAAUUUGCGAAUAUUUCCUUGAAUCUUUCCCAUGCUUCAAGCCAAGGUUCUUCAUGGAAUUUAUGAAAAU
rnacentral:snoRNA from 1 species